GGGGUUGUGGCUCAGGGGAAGAGCGUCCACCUAGCAUGUGCAAGGCCCUGGGUUUGAUUCUCAGCACCA
rnacentral:tRNA from 1 species